CUCUGCAGCACAUUAAUUCAGCCGUUCCCUCUGCCCAAUCAGUCUCAACUGUCAUAACGCGUCUUGUCCCUUCAAUUUCUAAUCACCUUUCAAGACGUUUUGAAAGCCAAAAGCUUAGUAUAGUAACUCUGAAAUCUGCUCUACUCCGAAACUAUCCCUACAUUUCUCCCUUCUCCCGCUUCAGUCUGGUUCUCUCACCCUGUCGAUUUCUGCUUGAAUCUCUGAGACUCCAGGGACUCUUCCGACCAGCUUUCCUGCAUGCGAUUGCUUCCGCUCCAAAAGCUGAUGGAACCCUUUGAAGAACCUCCGAACAAGAUAAGAGAACUGAACCCUCUUCGUCUCUGGCCACAACUCCGAUAGCCGCUUUAUUUUGUCCUCUUACAUAAGCUGCAUCAAAAUUGAUUUUGACAAAACUAUUUACUACCUUUGUUAUGUAAUCUGUUGUUCCUAUCACCCCAAAUGGCCCAUAAUGCAACACAGAAAAUCCGACGGUGGGAUGCUGAACACUGUGAAAAAACCCAGGUUAACCACUGUUGAAACCCCAUCUGGUUAUCCUGCACAUAACUAAGAAAAGAUAACUCUCUCCACACUGAUAUUGUAACAGGGCACUUUCGAAAAGAUGUUCCAUGGAUUCAGAUCCAAAACCACACCGAGGACACACUGAAGUACUCGUUAGCCGUCUAAGUAGCAUAUUAGCGCUAGGAGCUAGGAAGUUCCACGAGAUCUUCCGAACUAUAAUUUUGAUUUUUGAGGGUAUAUCGAGAAGCCAUAGUUUCCUGUAGAAGUCCUUAUAGUCAAUUUGUAAAGCAUAAGCUCUAGGAUCAUAUGCAAUAUUUUGUAAUAGUUUAUAGGAGUUGCGUACUGUGAACUCCCCCGAUGCUUCAGCACUCCAAACUUGAAGGUCUUCGUGUGGUCUUUCAGCCAGCGGGAUACUGAGAAUCAUCUCUGCUACAUCCUCC